UUUGUGUCUCUAGAGACCCUGUGAAGGCAGUGGCCUGGGGACAGCUCCCUCCUGGACAGGCCUGGUAAGCACCGCCACUCAGUGACCUGGUGACUGGUGACCAGUGCGACAAAGAGCCACUUGUGUCACAAGGAAAACCGCAUGGCUUUUGGAAAGGAGAGAAUUUUGGGAACAGCAGCGAGCCACUGUCUGGGCUGGUUCUCCUCCGACUCACACACGAGCACAGUUAAGCCGCAGAAAUCCCUGGAAAGCUUUCUUCAUACGGAAAAUGACAAAACUGAGCGUGAUGAGCAAGUGCCAUAAAUAAAUCUUAGCAAAUCCCUACACAUCCAACAUCAAGAGAAGAGAGAAGCCUCUUUGAGAUCCAGUGUGGUAAUCUCUGUGGCAGCCGUCUGCAUGGGGCAAGGGGGAGACAAUGGAAGGCUUUCACAGAUUUUUUAAAACUCGUUUAAUCUCAAACCGAAUGUUUCCUGAUAGGACUCUGACGAGUGGCACACAGCUGAGAGCUUACAUUCUGUGCUCAGGUCCAUCUGCAUUACGGAAUGUACUGCUGAGAGCCCCUGGC